UACGGAGGGGGCGAGCGUUAUUCGGAAUUAUUGGGCGUAAAGGGCGCGUAGGCGGCUCGAUAAGUCAAAGGUGAAAUCCCUCGGCUCAACUGAGGAACUGCCUUUGAAACUGUCGAGCUUGAGUCCGGGAGGGGGGUAGCGGAAUUCCCAGUGUAGCGGUGAAAUGCGUAGAUAUUGGGAGGAACACCAGUGGCGAAGGCGGCUACCUGGACCGGAACUGACGCUGAGGCGCGAAAGCGUGGGUAGCAAACAGG
rnacentral:rRNA from 1 species